UUCCCUAAAGCCGCACAUAAAUUUCUUCUUCUUUUCUCUUCUUCACGCUCACAACUCCUGCGCCACUCUCAACCAUUUUUUCUCUCAAACUUCGACUGACACAACCAAAACCCUUAGGGCCACCGCGUCGGCCACCACGUCGGUGGCCAUUCACCACCAUUACAUCUCCUCCCCUCAAGCCCUUCUUCCUUUACUCUUUUCUCUUCUUUCACUUCAUCUAUCGCCUAACCUCUUUCUUUCCUCUUGACCGAGACCCGAAACACACAAAACCGCCGUGAAUCGGCGUUGAACCAACCUUAGGCCACCAACCCAAAAGCUUUAACCCUCUAGGACCACCACUCUGGCCAAGCCCGUGAGGCAGAUCAUACGGACACAGACUGCUGGUAACCUAGAAGAAACCAAUUUUUACAGUGAGGUGGUGCCAUCUUCUCUUAGCGAGAUUGCACCCAUUCUCCGUGCUGAUAAUGAGGUCGAAUCAAGCAACCCCAGGGUGGCUUACCUCUUAUAUGCAAAGGACAUCUGCAAUUUCUCCAAAGAAGAUUGUCUGAAAACGGCAUGAAAAAAGUUAAGAAAACAAAAGAGAGAUCGUUUAUUUCAAGGAAUCAUUUGUCCAAAUUCAUUUAACAAAAACUUUUUAGGAAAUUAAGUAAACCAGACGAUAUGCGAUCACUGUGUCUGAUAGAUUACUUCAGGUUUGGACAGAUGCAAAACUUUAGGCUCUACACAUUGUGACGUAGGUUACUUUUAAUAGUCGAAACCUCAACAAAACAUUACUCUAAAAUUAGAAGAUCAUUCGUGUAUUUUACCCAAAUAUUAAUAGACAAAAUAUAAUCGUAUAUGAAUUGGAUUAGACGUGCAAAAAAGGUAUGUAUCACGAGCAGGGA